AGCCUCAUUCAAAAUGAGAAGUGACACUGUUGAUUUGUGCCCAAAAUUAGCCAAUGCGGCUAAAUUGGGACACUGAUUAUGAUUCCAUAAUAGCAAUGCAUUGCAGUGGUGGCAAUGAGAACUGUAACAUUU
rnacentral:snoRNA from 1 species